UCCGAAGGGGGCUAGCGUUGCUCGGAAUCACUGGGCGUAAAGCGCACGUAGGCGGCUUUCUAAGUCAGGGGUGAAAUCCUGGAGCUCAACUCCAGAACUGCCUUUGAUACUGGAAAGCUUGAGUUCGAGAGAGGUGAGUGGAACUGCGAGUGUAGAGGUGAAAUUCGUAGAUAUUCGCAAGAACACCAGUGGCGAAGGCGGCUCACUGGCUCGAUACUGACGCUGAGGUGCGAAAGCGUGGGGAGCAAACAGG
rnacentral:rRNA from 1 species